rnacentral:misc_RNA from 1 species
CUUCUUGGGUGCUCACGCCACUUUGUUUUUCUCUGGUAUGUGUACGCUCUACCAAAGUCAGGCGAGCCCUUCUUCAGUGCCAUCAAACACAGCAGCUGCCCACAUAUCUUGCCUCUCUCGCGCAGGCUCACACUAGGAAAAUAGGCGGAGGCACCGAUCAGCUGACUCGCGAAGCGACAGCCUCCUCGCACAAAAAGAGACGAGGGAGGAAAGGGCGGCGGCAGUGGCGCUUUCUCUCUAUCGUUUUGUUUGCCGUCGACCGUCUGCGUGUUUCCUUAUCUGUUGCUCUGCCCUUCUCUCUCUAUCAUCACUUUUCUCUUUUCUUGUAGUACGCGCUCGUUGUUCGUGCGAUGGUUUCUUCGUUGAACGCUUGGAGCUAAGCAAAAAAAAACAAGAAAACGCAUCAACGCCUGCGCGUGAGGUUCGGCUUGAAUGCGUGCUUGCGUGUGCACAUUUUUGCACAUCUGGCUCCUGCUGCAAGCACGACCCACCCUUCCUCGCCAUUAAUCAUGCCAGCGAUCUCCAGCACUGCUCUCCCGUACCCUUCGCAGCGCGUUGUGGUGUUGCGCCACGGCGAGCGGCGCGAUAGCUACCCUGAUGCGCCAGCCGAGUCUAACCCGCCUUUGUCAGAGGCUGGCGUGGUUGCCAUAAAGGCACUGGCAGCUCGUCUCCAGCACCACCUCGGCAAAGAUGCAGCCCGCUCUGCUGCCCUCGUUGUUUCGCCGUUUCUUCGCACGUUGCAGACGGCAGAGGCGCUGCAGCACCACGGCAUCGGAGCGGCGCACUCCAUGGUGAUUGACAACACCCUAGCCGAGGUGUUUGGCCCAAUCCGUAUCAAGGCAUCACGUGCACCGAAGCUGCCGAUACCGUCGAAGUCAUGUGUCGUGGGGCGGCUACCCGCGUGGGGGGAGUCCAUCGAAAUGGCGACGGAGCGGUACGUCGCCAGCUUUCUCCGAAACGGUGACUUAUACGGCGGACUUAUGACGGCUACCAGAUCCCUCAAAGAUGCGUCUCGCACGAGAGAAGAAGAGUCGCCGACUGCACACGGUGCCGCCGUCCCGGAAGCCGUCACAAACCGGAAAGUGAGCCGGCUGCCGCCGCGCAGCACGUCAUCAAAAUCGGUGGCGUGCGGUAAAGAGAAAAGCUCGAGCAUGUUGUCGGAAUUCCCACCUCGCGACGUUAUUCUCGUCACUCACGGCGACGCGCUCGGCUCUGUCGUCUCGCACUUCUACCCCGCCCGCGUCGUCUACGAGACGGAUUUUUUGUCGUUUGUAAUCAUGCGGCGCUACGGUGUUGGCAACCAGGUGUACCACCUGGAAAAAUCGGAGGGGGUAAACUGGCUCGUAGAGGGCGCCGAUGCAGAGCCACGAGACCCGAUCCUGCUCAUCCUAGAGAAGGAGCGUUGCGCCGCGGAGGGCGGCAGCGGCGGCGGGUAUGUCAAUGGUGGCGAAGACGAGUGUGCCAGCUUUGAAGACGAAGCCGAGGAAGUAGACAACGAUGCGGAUGUGCCGUUCAGCUUCGCUGGCGGUCGCGUGCAGCCGAGACAGAGCGGUGAGAUUCUUGACAAACGGCACGCGAAUCGCCGUGUGCCGUUCACUACAGAAAGUCGCAUGGAGGCGGUGUCGCCGGUUUAUGUAGCAAACCCGUUCGCGCCCCCCACCAGGCUGCCCGCAAGGGCCGCCUCAAACAGCGAAGGCCCCAGGUGCAGCUCCUCAGGCCUUCCGACGCAGAUGCGCACGCCUCAGCAGCUGCCACCACAAAUGCCGAAGUCUGCGAGUCAUCACCACGACCACAUGUUCGACAGUGCGUCGCAGAAUCACUCCAGCGGUCAGUCGCGGACUGCGACCGCCUCUGCACCUGCACACUCUCAGCGGCCCAAUGAGUACCCAAAAGCCGGCGAAGGCUGUGAAAGGAUCCGCUUGCCCACCGGAACACCCGCGCAGUCUUCGAGCAACUCAGUCACUAUUAACAAUCAUGGGCGCAACCUAGGUGAAUGUGCGGAAGACACGGAGGCCGUUGGGAGUGGCAACGGCAGUCUUCACAGCAUGGAAAGCAGAAUACCGCUGAAAGAGGGCGACUCGGUAUCAGGCCAGCGGUACAGGGAGGAGGGGUGGGAGGCUGAGAAGUGCGCCGUGCCAGAGGACGGGCACCGCGACCCCACCGUCGCUUUCAUGAGCAGCUGCAGAGGACUCUCCGAGGAGCAUAGGACCAAUUGUUCGCUACGGCCGCCUGCGAUGCCGGCCACGUUGGUGCCUGCCACGGCGGCGUCGCGGAUCGACGGCUCACCACCGUCGCCGAACCUGGAAAUUACGGUUGCCGCAGCAUGUCCUGUGGUAUGUGCGUCUUACGGCAGCGCCCUCAUGGGUCUCGCCGGCAAGAGCUUCGAGGCGGACCUUGGCGAGGAUGCAACCUUGGCACGCGCAGGUGCCUCCCGGACGAUCUGCACACACCCUGCCUUUGAUACCGCUGCCGCCGUCGGUGCCUCAGGCGACUUGACGGAGUCACUGAACCGGCGGAUCUACCGACAGCGAAGUGUUGUUCAUGCCGCAUUUGUCUCCUCCGGAUUGCGAGCCGUGGCAGCCUUUCUCAUCUUCUUCAAUGUGCUCGUGCAACCCCGCAACGCGGCAACGCUGUGGUUCGGCAUCUUUUCAGUUGCCUGGGAGGUGGCAUUUGCGGCAGUCGUGCACUUCUCUUGCCGGCCUGACGGCUGGCGCAUGCGACGCCUUCGCAGCGCGGUGGAGCAGCUGCGCCUUAAAGGGUUGCGCGCAAAAGGUAGGACCGCCGCCGCCGGCUCACAGGAGGACGCCGGUGGCUUUCCCUUGAGCGUGGAGCCACUGCAUCAUCUCGGCUGCUCCAGCGCUGGCGGGGCUGAGUACAUAAGCGCAGUGGAGUGGCAGAACGACGCCGUCGACCUCGACGAGGAUUUAUCGCCGACGAACCGCGUUCCGAAGGGGGCCAUGGCAUGCUUCUUGUGCGGGGCCCGUCUGAUCGCUGCAAUCGCGCUCAAGCUGUUUAUUAUCAGCGCCAUGAGUUUUGUCUUUGCCCUUCUCUUCGGAUCGCGUGCGUUUGGGGCGAUGGCAGGCAUUUGCAACGUUUAUGAGCCGAAAGCUGGUCUCCUGCUGUUGCUGACGUAUGGAUGCAUCUGCGUGGCACGUGGGCUGUGGGACGAGACAAAGCUUGACGCCGCUCUCGACAGCGCGUGAAGCCGGGGCACGAUAGCAUUGGCUUUACCGUUUGGGGCGGGGGUUGCCGGCUUGCUCUUCACAGAUUGCGGGCGCCACCCUCACCUCUGUGGAGGAGGCACCUCAUCGCUCAUUCUUUUGUGCACUGACACACCCCUCCCACUCCACGAUGACCCCCUCCCCCCCCCAUACCGGCUGCAUCUAGUACAUGGUUGCGGGCGUCCUCGAGUUCUUAGAAGGCUCUCCCUCAUGCCAUGUGGCGAGUCGAAAUGAGAGAUGCCACUUUCAGAAGCGGACGAAGAAGAGCAUCGAAAAAAGGAAAUCUGGUGGGUUUCUGGAAGAGGACGGAGAUGUUGCAGGGCGAGGUAAAGUCGCAUAAGUGUGUGGGUGUUCUGCUUUGGAGACAGCGAGGGUUUUGUUGCUGCACAUGUGUACCAUGGUGCGCUGGAUUUCGACUUCGGUGUGCGCUUCUUGCAUAAUCUCUCCUCGCACUUUUUUUUCUGUUGCAUCACCAUCCCCCUCCCUUUCUUUUUUUUUUCGGGUUUGCAUUAUUGAUUCCCACUUCGUCGUCUUUUCGAGUGUGGGUGUCGCAGUGUCUUCGCGUAGGCGUGAGAGCGCGCGUGCAUGUGCGGCGACGUGAAAUGAGUGAAGUUGGCAAAACGAAGAAAAAAGGGAAAAGCUCAACACCAGUUGCCUAUAAAAGCUCUGCGUACGCGAUUGUCGUUUGGCUGCCCCGCUGCGUGCUUCUAUCCUGCUUAUAGUUUUGACGGAUCGAACAUGGUUUGCGUGUGUGUGGGUGGUGGUGGUGGUGGUGUACUGCUGUUUUGCUGCCUUGAUUUCUCUGCUGCGUUUUUUUUUUUUUGCUGUGACUGUACGUGUGUGUGCUUCUUUGUUUUCUUGCUGACCUUCUGCUUUCUUGCGCUGCCUCUCGCUCUCUCUACGCCGCUGAAGGACCAUCUUCUUACUUGCCACACAGUUGAGAGCGCGUGUACACGAAGCGCACCUCCCAGCAACUGCACCCGUUCUCUUCCUGUUAUUCGUGCACAUCUCCUGCGCCGCUGACGUGUCUUGGUGUUUUCUUUUUGCCGUCGCGUUUAUCUAUAUCUUGUGGACAUUAAAUUUUGCGAAGCAAUCCAACAAAAAAAAACAAAGCAAACAGCAGCCGCGGAAAGAAACGCGAGUAUCGACCACUUUCAUGCUUGCUUACCUUUCUCGUGAAUCUUCCUUCUUCCUCUGAACCAUUAUUUAUAUGUUCAUGCUGUUUGUGUAUGCUGUUGCUGCUGCUGCUGUUGCCCACGCCUGUGCCUGCUUUUGUGUAUGCGUUUCGUUUUCACUUUUUUUUUGAUGUUUCUUUCGUUUGUGUGUGUGUGUGUGAAGAAACUGCCUGCCACUACCUGUUUCUUUCUCACUUCUGGUGCGCUUUACUGCACCACGCGCAGGCAGCGCUCCCUCCCCAUUUCUCGGGUCUACCUGCUUUGUGCAGUUGGCUAACACCCCUUUUUCUACACCUCCCCGAAACGGUGCGCAGAUGAGGAGAAUGCAAGAGACCGAAGUAAAGGAGAUCAGGAAUUACCUUCUAAGCAGGUGUCGGACAACUAACACAUCCCAAGUACACAUCAAAUACAUGUAGGCUCACGCCCACAGCUC